UACGUAGGGGGCAAGCGUUGUCCGGAAUCAUUGGGCGUAAAGCGCGUGUAGGCGGUCCGAUAAGUCGGCUGUGAAAGUCAAGGGCUCAACCCUUGAAUGCCGGCCGAUACUGUCGGGCUAGAGUCCGGAAGAGGCGAGUGGAAUUCCUGGUGUAGCGGUGAAAUGCGCAGAUAUCAGGAGGAACACCAAUGGCGAAGGCAGCUCGCUGGGACGGUACUGACGCUGAGACGCGAAAGCGUGGGGAGCAAACAGG
rnacentral:rRNA from 1 species